rnacentral:tRNA from 1 species
UGCCCGUUCGUCUAAUUGGUAGGAUCCUUGAGUUUGAGUCAGGAGACGCACGUUCGAAUCGUGCACGGGCAUCCA